rnacentral:rRNA from 1 species
GAUGAACGCUGGCGGCGUGCCUAACACAUGCAAGUCGAACGGAGUCCAGCCUUUAAGACCUUCGGGUCAAAGAGGGGAAGACUGAGUGGCGGACGGGCGAGUAACACGUGGGCAACCUGGCUCAUAGAGGGGGAUAACAGAGAGAAAUUUCUGCUAAUACCGCAUAAGCACACACUGCCGCAUGGCAGAGGGUGAAAAGAGAAUCGCUAUGAGAUGGACCCGCGUCUGAUUAGCCAGUUGGCAGGGUAAGAGCCUACCAAAGCGACGAUCAGUAGCCGAUCUGAGAGGAUGAACGGCCACAUUGGGACUGAGACACGGCCCAAACUCCUACGGGAGGCAGCAGUGGGGGAUAUUGCACAAUGGGGGGAACCCUGAUGCAGCGACGCCGCGUGAGUGAAGAAGUAUUUCGGUAUGUAAAGCUCUAUCAGCAGGGAAGAUAAUGACAGUACCUGAAGAAGAAGCCCCGGCUAACUACGUG